UACGUAGGGGGCGAGCGUUAUCCGGAAUUAUUGGGCGUAAAGGGCGCGUAGGCGGAUAUUUAAGUCAGGUGUGAAAACCCGGGGCUCAACCCCGGAGUUGCAUCUGAAACUGGGUAUCUUGAGGACAGGAGAGGAAAGUGGAAUUCCUAGUGUAGCGGUGAAAUGCGUAGAUAUUAGGAGGAACACCAGUGGCGAAGGCGACUUUCUGGACUGUAACUGACGCUGAGGCGCGAAAGCGUGGGGAGCAAACAGGAUUAGAAACCCCGGUAGUCC
rnacentral:rRNA from 1 species